UGCCUACCACAAAGCCCACGAGGCAAACUGCCGCUCCGGUGCUGCCCCUGCGACCUGCCGUUUCUACAAAGAGCUGGACGCGAUACUUGGGAGCGACCCCACCUCCACUCCAACGAGCACCAUGGAUGCUUCUGAGCCCAGCACAGCAAGGGGGGAGGAGGAGGAAAACACGAGCAAGGGUGCUGAGGUGGGGGGAGAUACCCUGGAAUCCUUAGAUGCAUGCAGCCCGGAGCUCUUCUCGAGCCAGGAGGAAGGCAGCCAGUCACGGCGUCUGGUGCUUGGGGAAGGAUAAACACCAGAGGAGGUUCCCGGUGCAACCUUGAGAUCUCAGCCGCCAGUGUUACCACUGGCCGACAGACUGAGAGCACUCAGGAAGAGGCCCUGUAAAAGCAAAGACAACAUGCUGCAGGAAGUGAUGCGGCAGUCUGUGGAAGAGAAUCAAAAGG